AAGUCGUAACAAGGUUUCCGUAGGUGAACCUGCGGAAGGAUCAUUACUUUAUCUGCGGCAACCGCUGUACUCGUACAGCAGUUGUUGUUUGAUUUCCACCCUUGUCUUUUGCGCACCCCCGUUUCCUCGGCUGCUUCGGCAGCCGCUAGGACACCUUAUAACCUUUUGUACUGUUAUAAUCAGCGUCUGAAAAUAUUAAAUUAUUACAACUUUCAACAACGGAUCUCUUGGUUCUG
rnacentral:misc_RNA from 1 species